GACGAACGCUGGCGGCGUGCUUAACACAUGCAAGUCGAACGGAAAGGCCCUGCUUUUGUGGGGUGCUCGAGUGGCGAACGGGUGAGUAACACGUGAGUAACCUGCCCUUGACUUUGGGAUAACUUCAGGAAACUGGGGCUAAUACCGGAUAGGAGCUCCUGCUGCAUGGUGGGGGUUGGAAAGUUUCGGCGGUUGGGGAUGGACUCGCGGCUUAUCAGCUUGUUUGUGGGGUAGUGGCUUACCAAGGGUUUGACGGGUAGCCGGCCUGAGAGGGUGACCGGCCACAUUGGGACUGAGAUACGGCCCAGACUCCAACGGGAGGCAGCAGUGGGGAAUAUUGCACAAUGGACGGAAGCCUGAUGCAGCAACGCCGCGUGCGGGAUGACGGCCUUCGGGUUGUAAACCGCUUUCGCCUGUGACGAAGCGUGAGUGACGGUAAUGGGUAAAGAAGCACCGGCUAACUACGUG
rnacentral:rRNA from 1 species